CCUAUCUAGCAGCAACAACUUCAGGUUCUAGGUCACUUGGCUCCCUAAAAAUAUCCUCAUCAGAACCAUAUAAUGACUCAUCUAUAUCAUGAUCAACAUCACCUUCAGAAAUAGCCGCAUAAUCUUUAUCACUCUCAAGACUAACUCAUGACCCUCAACAGCACCCUCAGCAUCACCCUCAGAAUCUUUUGCUAGAUGAAAGGUAUGAAGUCAUCUUCAUCUUCACUAAAAUCUUUUGUUGGAGAAGAACUUUCAGUAGAAGAAGAACUUAC
rnacentral:lncRNA from 1 species